UAGGCAAAAUGGUGCCGUAACUUCGGGAGAAGGCACGCUGACACGUAGGUGAAGUGAUUUACUCAUGGAGCUGAAGUCAGUCGAAGAUACCAGCUGGCUGCAACUGUUUAUUAAAAACACAGCACUGUGCAAACACGAAAGUGGACGUAUACGGUGUGACGCCUGCCCGGUGCCGGAAGGUUAAUUGAUGGGGUCAGCGCAAGCGAAGCUCCUGAUCGAAGCCCCGGUAAACGGCGGCCGUAACUAUAACGGUCCUAAGGUAGCGAAAUUCCUUGUCGGGUAAGUUCCGACCUGCACGAAUGGCGUAAUGAUGGCCAGGCUGUCUCCACCCGAGACUCAGUGAAAUUGAACUCGCUGUGAAGAUGCAGUGUACCCGCGGCAAGACGGAAAGACCCCGUGAACCUUUACUAUAGCUUGACACUGAACAUUGAGCCUUGAUGUGUAGGAUAGGUGGGAGGCUUUGAAGUGUGGACGCCAGUCUGCAUGGAGCCGACCUUGAAAUACCACCCUUUAAUGUUUGAUGUUCUAACGUGGACCCGUGAUCCGGGUUGCGGACAGUGUCUGGUGGGUAGUUUGACUGGGGCGGUCUCCUCCUAAAGAGUAACGGAGGAGCACGAAGGUUGGCUAAUCCUGGUCGGACAUCAGGAGGUUAGUGCAAUGGCAUAAGCCAGCUUGACUGCGAGCGUGACGGCGCGAGCAGGUGCGAAAGCAGGUCAUAGUGAUCCGGUGGUUCUGAAUGGAAGGGCCAUCGCUCAACGGAUAAAAGGUACUCCGGGGAUAACAGGCUGAUACCGCCCAAGAGUUCAUAUCGACGGCGGUGUUUGGCACCUCGAUGUCGGCUCAUCACAUCCUGGGGCUGAAGUAGGUCCCAAGGGUAUGGCUGUUCGCCAUUUAAAGUGGUACGCGAGCUGGGUUUAGAACGUCGUGAGACAGUUCGGUCCCUAUCUGCCGUGGGCGCUGGAGAACUGAGGGGGGCUGCUCCUAGUACGAGAGGACCGGAGUGGACGCAUCACUGGUGUUCGGGUUGUCAUGCCAAUGGCACUGCCCGGUAGCUAAAUGCGGAAGAGAUAAGUGCUGAAAGCAUCUAAGCACGAAACUUGCCCCGAGAUGAGUUCUCCCUGAGACUUUAGGUCUCCUGAAGGAACGUUGAAGACGACGACGUUGAUAGGCCGGGUGUGUAAGCGCAGCGAUGCGUUGAGCUAACCGGUACUAAUGAACCGUGAGGCUUAACCUUACAACGCCGAAG
rnacentral:rRNA from 1 species